UCCACUAAAUUCAUCAAUGGCAGGAAAAUCACUACAAAAAGAAUCAUCGAGAAUGGCCAGGAACGUGUAGAAGUGGAAGAAGAUGGACAGUUAAAGUCUAUAACCGUAAAUGGUAAGGAACAACUGCUGCGAUUGGAACACAAUUAAGAUAAUGGAGCCCUUUCAGCACAAACCUGAGCUCAAACAAUGUUAGUACUGUCGUUCAGAUGUCUGUACAUUGUGUUUUUGUUUUGUUUUUUCUUUCCUUUUUUCAUUUUUAGACUGUUGUUUCUGAACAAUUUUUUGUUUAUAUAUUUAUAAAUGGGUACUUGUCAGUAUUUUGCACAGGAUACGUGUAAUUUUACUUGUAUUUGGGACCAUAAUGUGAGAUUAUUUUUUCUUUCCGCGAGCACUUUGUGUUGCAGUGUCCUCAUGAAUGCACAUUGCAUUUUGAAUACUGCUUUGAGCUGAAAGGAGAAAGAGGAUUGUGCAUUGUGCAUGAUUUUACCAACAGUGUGGAGUGUGGAAUUGGAGUGCGUAGCUUAAUGUUCAAACCUUAUGGCAACUUGUCUAAUUAAUUUGUUAAACAUAUUUGUAAAUGCUGGUAGAGUGCUAGAUUCAAUGUACUGAUAUGCAAUUUUUAUGAAUUUUAAUUAAUGAAAAUGUUUUUGUUUUUUUCCCCCUCAUUGUUGCAUGUAAGACAACAAAUGAUGUUUCUAGUUGUAAUGUUAUUACUAAAUAACCUGAUGAGAAUCGGAGUUAAUAAUAUAACUGAUUUAUGACCAUUCACGGAACUUUGUGUACUUUGUAAAAUAAUUUGAACCUAAAUAAAUGAGUUUCAUCCUUUUUGGGGAUGUGGCAGCUCUGCAGUCUAUGUAGUUUUGCUUUAA